GCCUAGCUGGCUCAGUUGGUAGAGCAUGGGAUUCUUGAUCUCGGGAUUGUGAGUUCCAGCCCCAUGUUGGGUG
rfam:Felis catus isolate Cinnamon breed Abyssinian chromosome C1, whole genome shotgun sequence.